GCCCUUAAAGAGCCAGUGCCACCCGGGCACCCGCAGCCCUGGCCUGGGCCGGUCCCCACAGUGCAACACCUCCCGCCGAGGGCUUGGACCGGGAGCCCUGAGUGUCCGGAACACGGACUGUUACUGGACCUAACGGAAGACUGCCCCGACCCGACGCAAGGGCUGUGCGGACCGAUCGCACACAGAGCCGUGCUCGUGGAGUGCUGCCAGGGUGCAGAUUUCAGUCCUCGCACGUAAAUGCCAUCGGAAAACCCUCCGAACAUCAUCUCCCCUCCAGCCACAGGCCCAUCUCCCUCUGCCAAUCUUCUGGUCUUGAUGCACCGUUCUUUCAUCACUGGAUUCAAGUCACUACUAGUCUGGGAUUUUUCCAUGUCUGCGCUGUGGGACACUGGCACUGAGCAGCCCACAACAGACCCUCGUGUACUCUGCGGUCUCACGCCUCUGAGGACAGACGGACCGACCAAGGCAGAAACCCGAACAGGAGCGUGCCGCAGCGGCGUUAGCAGGGGUGUGCGGCGGGUGGGAGGGGCCGCCAGCCGGGCAGGGCCGCAGGGCCGCGCACACUUCCUGUCUGUGUUCGCUUCCUUGGUUUUGCCUUUAAAAGUUCAUUCUGUUUUAAAGAGGUUUGCGUUGGAACGCUUGUUUUAAACAAGGGGGAAACGCCUUCCACGUGUAACACUUCUGGGUCUUUCUUUAGUGAAGAUCAGUUUCCACCUGGUGUCACUUUCCUUGGGCCCAGACAUUUCUUGUAGGGCAAGGCUGCUGGAGAUUCCUUCAGCUUUCAUUUGUCUGGAAAAGGAAGGUCGACUUUGACUUGACUUUUGUAUUGUGAAUGGAGAAUGUUAAGCUGACCCGUUUUUCCCUUUCAAUCCUUUAUAAAGAUGUCACGCAGCACUGCC